AGUACGAGAGGACCGGAGUGGACGCACCGCUAGUGUACCUGUUGUGUGGUCGCAUGCAUCGCAGGGUAGCUAUGUGCGGAAGUGAUAAGCCGCUGAACGCAUCUAAGCGCGAAGCACGCUCCAAGAUAAGUAUUCCCUAUGAGCCUCCCGGAAGACGACCGGGUAGAUAGGCGGCAGGUGUACGCAUGGUAACAUGUUUAGCCGAGCCGUACUAAUC
rnacentral:rRNA from 1 species